rnacentral:rRNA from 1 species
AUUGAACGCUGGCGGCAGGCCUAACGCAUGCAAGUCGAGCGGAUGAAGGGAGCUUGCUCCUGGAUUCAGCGGCGGACGGGUGAGUAAUGCCUAGGAAUCUGCCUGGUAGUGGGGGAUAACGUCCGGAAACGGGCGCUAAUACCGCAUACGUCCUGAGGGAGAAAGUGGGGGAUCUUCGGACCCCACGCUAUCAGAUGAGCCUAGGUCGGAUUAGCUAGUUGGUGGGGUAAAGGCCUACCAAGGCGACGAUCCGUAACUGGUCUGAGAGGAUGAUCAGUCACACUGGAACUGAGACACGGUCCAGACUCCUACGGGAGGCAGCAGUGGGGAAUAUUGGACAAUGGGCGAAAGCCUGAUCCAGCCAUGCCGCGUGUGUGAAGAAGGUCUUCGGAUUGUAAAGCACUUUAAGUUGGGAGGAAGGGCAGUAAGUUAAUACCUUGCUGUUUUGACGUUACCAACAGAAUAAGCACCGGCUAACUUCGUG